UACGUAGGGAGCGAGCGUUAUCCGGAUUUAUUGGGUGUAAAGGGUGCGUAGACGGCUUUGCAAGUUAGUUGUGAAAUCCCUCGGCUUAACUGAGGAACUGCAACUAAAACUGUAGAGCUUGAGUGCGGGAGAGUAAAGCGGAAUUCCUAGUGUAGCGGUGAAAUGCGUAGAUAUUAGGAGGAACACCAGUGGCGAAGGCGGCUUUCUUGACCGUAACUGACGUUGAGGCACGAAAGUGUGGGGAGCAAAC
rnacentral:rRNA from 1 species